rnacentral:rRNA from 1 species
AUUCCAGCUCCAAUAGCGAAUACUAAUUCUGCUGCAGUUAAAAAGCUCGUAGUUGAACUUCUGGUAGGACAGAUCCGGCCUUUGGAUGAAUGUCCAUUGUAUGCUGUGUGUCUUGUCUGGCCAUCCUUUAUGUCUUUUAGGCGUAAUCUUUCACUGUAAAAAAAUUAGGGUGUUUCAAGCAAAAGUUAUUUGGAAUAUAUUAGUAUGGGAUGAUAAGAUAGGCUCUUGAGUGCUACUUUGUUGGUUUCGAACACCGGAGUAAUGAUUAACAGGGACAGUCAGGGGCACUCGUAUUCCGCCGAGAGAGGUGAAAUUCUCAGACCAGCGGAAGACGAACCACUGCGAAAGCAUUUGCCAGGGAUGCUUUCAUUA